GUGUCAGCCGCCGCGGUAAUACAGAGGGUGCAUGCGUUAAUCGGAAUUACUGGGCGUAAAGCGCGCGUAGGUGGUUUGUUAAGUUGGAUGUGAAAUCCCCGGGCUCAACCUGGGAACUGCAUCCAAAACUGGCAAGCUAGAGUAUGGUAGAGGGUGGUGGAAUUUCCUGUAUAGCGGUGAAAUGCGUAGAUAUAGGAAGGAACACCAGUGGCGAAGGCGACCACCUGGACUGAUACUGACACUGAGGUGCGAAAGCGUGGGGAGCAAACAG
rnacentral:rRNA from 1 species